GAUGAAGAACGCAGCGAAAUGCGAUAAGUAAUGUGAAUUGCAGAAUUCAGUGAAUCAUCGAAUCUUUGAACGCACCUUGCGCUCCUUGGUAUUCCAAGGAGCAUGCCUGUUUGAGUAUCAUUAAAUUAUCAACUGUGCCAAUUUGGUUACAGAUUGGAUGUGGGAGAUUCUUUUUGCAGGCCUUUGACUUCUCUUUGAGAAAAAAAAUAAAAGGUCGGCUCUCCUGAAAUGUAUUAGCAGUGCCUUUGUUGGUUCAUUAGGUGUGAUAAAUUGUCUACAUCUUCGCAUGAUACCUUCAUUUGUAAAGGUCAUAUUGCUUCUAAAUUGUCUUUGAUUGGACGCAAAACAUAUAUAAUGUUUGACAAACUUGAUCUCAAAUCAGGCAGGACUACCCGCUGAACUUAAGCAUAUCAUAAGCGGAGGA
rnacentral:misc_RNA from 1 species